GGUAAUCAACAGAUUGCAUCUCAUUGCUGAAGUUUCUGUACCCCAUGGGCUCCCAGUGCUUUUCUGAUUAGCACAGAAGCAUCCCUUCUCUUACUCCAGACUGACUCUGGAAUUGUGUUUGCUCCAGCCAAAUGGCUGAUUUUAACUGGUUUCCCUACCUCCAAAGCACAAAUGAGCACAUGUGGCCUCGUAGGCUUAUUUCAUGGAUGAGCAGUGAAUGAGGAUCUUCUGAGAUCAGAAAACUCUGAAUGACAGAAUGAAAGGGAUUGUUCUAUAGUGUCAAUUGGGUUCUUAGUUGCAGAUGCAAUAAUUUAAACAGAAAAGGAUUUAUUAAUGGGUGUUGGGUAGCCAUUAGCAUUCCAGGAGGGGCUUAAGAGCCAAGCUUGGAUGUCAGCAUGGUUACCCAACCACACCAUGGCAUAAUAGGGUGGAGACUACACUGCUGCUGGAGAUAGGAGGAUCUUCGUCUGAACUGCUGCAGAAGAGUUACUGUCCUUGCACAUGGCAGAUACUGCCUAUCUAUCUCUUCCUCCUUCCAAGCCUCACGCAAGUGUGUCUGCUUGGUCCCUAGAGCAC
ensembl:lncRNA